rnacentral:rRNA from 1 species
UACGUAGGGUGCGAGCGUUGUCCGGAAUUAUUGGGCGUAAAGAGCUCGUAGGCGGUCUGUCGCGUCUGCUGUGAAAACCCGAGGCUCAACCUCGGGCCUGCAGUGGGUACGGGCAGACUAGAGUGCGGUAGGGGAGAAUGGAAUUCCUGGUGUAGCGGUGGAAUGCGCAGAUAUCGGGAGGAACACCGAUGGCGAAGGCAGUUCUCUGGGCCGUAACUGACGCUGAGGAGCGAAAGCGUGGGGAGCGAACAGG